UACAGAGGGUGCGAGCGUUGUCCGGAAUCACUGGGCGUAAAGGGCGCGUAGGCGGCUCAGUAAGGUUGCGGUGAAAGCCCGGGGCUCAACCCCGGGUCGGCCGUGGCAACUGCUGGGCUGGAGCACUGUAGAGGCAGGUGGAAUUCCGGGGUGUAGCGGUGGAAUGCGUAGAGAUCCGGAAGAACACCGGUGGCGAAGGCGGCCUGC
rnacentral:rRNA from 1 species